UGGCGACCAUAGCAAGAGUGAACCACCUGAUCCCUUCCCGAACUCAGAAGUGAAACCUCUUAGCGCUGAUGGUAGUGUGGGAUUACCCAUGUGAGAGUAAGUAAUCGCCAGCUC
rnacentral:rRNA from 1 species